rnacentral:rRNA from 1 species
ACGCUCGACACCUACGGAGGCAGCAGUGGGGAAUAUUGCACAAUGGGGGAAACCCUGAUGCAGCGACGCCGCGUGAGCGAAGAAGUAUUUCGGUAUGUAAAGCUCUAUCAGCAGGGAAGAAACUGACGGUACCUGACUAAGAAGCACCGGCUAAAUACGUGCCCGNAGCCGCGGUAAUCUGAGCGGGCUGGCAAGGC